AAAUGUUAGCAAGUGGAAAAUGGAGAAUUGUGAGUUUAAUUUUGACUUGAAGAUUUUAGAUUUGGGUGGAUUUGACAUGAUAUUGGGAAUUAAUUGGUUGAAAAAGCACAAUCCAGUAUUAUUUAAUUAUGAGGCAUCAACAAUCACUAUUACUAUUGAAGGGAAAUCAGUAGUUUUACAUGGAAUUGGAGAAGGUAUGUUGUAGUAUGGGUUGUGGCAUUCUGGCGAUCUCUUGAACAAAGGUGGUGAGGAUUUUCAGACACCUCUACUUCGUAUUAUGGAUUCUAAACAUUCUUAAUUAUCCGCUACUUCCAAUUUUGUGUUGGAUGGGAGAUUGCAGCAAUUACUUCAGAAGUAUAAAGGCAUUUUUUAAGAGCCCCACGGAUUACCACUUUUUAGGAGCCACAAUCGUGCUAUUCCUUUGCAGCAUGAUGCAUAGCCCAUUAAUAUUAGGCCCUAUAGAUACCCCAUUAUUAGAAGGCGGAGAUUGAAAAAUUAGUAGUAGAUAUGCUUUCUUCUACAUAAUUCAACUUAGCACCAGCCCAUAUUCUUCUCCUAUCCUUUUUGUUUAAAAAGAAAGAUGGGAUAUGAAGGUUUGGCAUUGACUAUAGGAGACUUAAUGACU
rnacentral:misc_RNA from 1 species